ACUCCUACGGGAGGCAGCAGUGGGGAAUAUUGCACAAUGGGGGAAACCCUGAUGCAGCCAUGCCGCGUGUGUGAAGAAGGCCUGGUUGUAAAGCACUUUCAGUAGGGAGGAAGGUAGUGUAGUUAACACCUGCAUUAUUUGUACGUUACCUACAGAAGAAGCACCGGCUAACUCCGUGCCAGCAGCCGCGGUAAGUACGGAGGGUGCGAGCGUUAAUACGGAAUUACGUGGGCGUAAAGCGCAUGCAGGCGGCCUGUUAAGUCAGAUGUGAAAGCCCGGGGCUUAACCGUCGGAAUUGCAUUUGAAACUGGCAGGCUAGAGUCUUGUAGAGGGGUUAGAAUUUCAGGUGUAGCGGUGAAAUGCGUAGAGAUCUGAAGG
rnacentral:rRNA from 1 species